UGAGAGGGAACAUUUGAUACUGUUGGGCUUGAGUGCAGUAGAGGGAAGCGGAAUUCCCGGUGUAGUGGUGAAAUGCGUAGAUAUCGGGAGGAACACCAGUGGCGAAAGCGGCUUCCUGGGCUGCCACUGACGCUGAGGCCCGAAAGCGUGGGGAGCGAACAGGAUUAGAUACCCUGGUAGUCCACGCCCUAAACUAUGGACACUAGGUAUGGGGAGUAUCGACCCUCUCCGUGCCGAAGCUAACGCAUUAAGUGUCCCGCCUGGGGAGUACGGCCGCAAGGCUAAAACUCAAAGGAAUUGACGGGGGCCCGCACAAGCAGCGGAGCGUGUGGUUUAAUUCGAUGCAACACGAAGAACCUCACCAGGGCUUGACAUGACGGAAGUAGUGAACCGAAAGGGGAACGACCUGUUAAGUCAGGAGCCGCCACAGGUGCUGCAUGGCUGUCGUCAGUUCGUGCCGUGAGGUGUUAGGUUAAGUCCUGCAACGAACGCAACCCCUGUUGCCAGUUACUCUCUCUGGCGAGACUGCCCCGCAAAACGGGGAGGAAGGCAGGGAUGACGUCAAGUCAGCACGGCCUUUAUGCCCUGGGCCACACACACGCUACAAUGGGUGGUACAGUAGGUCGCAAUGGAGUGAUCCGGAGCCAAUCCUAAAAACCACCCCCAGUACAGAUUGCAGGCUGAAACCCGCCUGCAUGAAGUCGGA
rnacentral:rRNA from 1 species